AGAAGGUUCAAUUUGGUGUACCCCAGGGGACUGUCAUGGGUCCAUUUCUCUUCCUACUGUAUAUCAAUGACAUUCCAAAUGCAGUUUAGUCCAGAGUUCGACUCUUCGCAGAUGAUGCCAUAAUUUAUAGAGAGAUUAAAACACCAGAAGACAGCUUGUCCUUAGAGAAGGAUCUGGAUGCUCUCUGUAAGUGGGGGAAAACCUGGCAGAAGUCAUUCAAUACAACCAAAUGUCAUACCAUGCAUGUCUCACACAAGAU